rnacentral:lncRNA from 1 species
AUUAGGUUAGAAGAAUUGCUAAAGUUGGUGGUGUGAUUGUAAAUCGUUUUAAAUAGGCUGAUGAAUAAUCAUCUGAUGAGUGAUUUCAAUAUGAAGGGUAGGCAUGGAAAGCAGCCCUUUGGUGUUACUUGCCUUUAUAAAAUAAUAAAAACAAACGCUCUUAAUUUAAACAUUUGCAAUGAGGAGGAUGUCGACGAUGCCAUUUCAAAGCACCUUAAGCAUGUGCCAAAGAGAAAAGGUGGACGUAAAUUCACCGAAAAAA